AACAGACCUAAGAUGAAGGAGCUCGCUGAUUGGUUGAAAACUGAUCCUGAUUAUUUCACUAAGGAAGAGGACAAACCACGUACAUCACCAACUUGGUGGUAUCAAAAACUCCGGACAUCCAAAGCAUGGCUGGAAGACGUACAUAUAGAUGCUUGGAUGAAUGUGCUGAGGCAGAGGUAUAAGGAGAACCCACAAUGUUUCCGGAGCGAGCGAAUGUGCUUCCUGGAUCACAACUUUACCCAGUCUUGGAG